GGGUUCGUGGCCUAAUGGUAAGGCGUUAGAUUUCGGUCCAAUUUUCCGGUUCUCUAAAGAUUGCAGGUUCGAUCCCUGCCGAGCUCG